AUGUCCUGGCCUUUUGGCUAAUAUCAGGUAGAGUAUCUGUUCUUAUCAGUUUAAUAUCUGAUAUGUCCUCUACACGAGGACAAUAUAUUAAAUGGAUUUUUGGAACAGGGAGUUAGAAUAGGAGCUUGUUCCAUCCACUUCACGCCUUGACCUGGUACUGAAGUACCUCCAGGAACGGUGCACCCCCU